rnacentral:rRNA from 1 species
GUGCCAGCAGCCGCGGUACUACCGGCAGCUCGAGUGAUGGCCGAUCUUAUUGGGCCUAAAGCGUCCGUAGCUGGCCUCGCAAGUCCGUCGGGAAAUCCAGUAGCUCAACUACUGGGCGUCCGGCGGAAACUACAAGGCUUGGGACCGGAAGACUCGAGGGGUACGUCCGGGGUAGGAGUGAAAUCCCGUAAUCCCGAACGGACCACCGAUGGCGAAAGCACCUCGAGGAGACGGCUCCGACAGUGAGGAACGAAAGCCAGGGUCUCGAACCGGAUUAGAAACCCCUGUAGUCC